AAUUCUCAACCUUACCAGCUUUGCUGCUUGGUUUGGAUUGGACUUGGGGGUACUUUUUUGCAGGCUUCUACAAGUCAGCUCCCCUGAAAUACAUUAGCAGUGCCCUUGUGGUAUACAGCCAUUGGUGUGAUAACCUAUCUACGCCAUUAGCUGCCCAUAAUUAUUGGGGUUGUGCUGCUUCUAACUGUCUUCUUUACUGAGACAAAUUUGACCA
rnacentral:misc_RNA from 1 species